GUAUGACAGUUCCAAAAAACUCUUUGUAAAAGGAAAAGAUUUUGGACAAUGCAAUCACUAUCACUAUAUUAGAUGCAUGAUAGUUCCAAAGAAACGCACCAAGGAAAGGUUUUUGAACAGCGCAAUCACUAUCACUGUAUUAGAUGCAUGACAGUUCCAAAGAAACGCACAUCGAGAUAAAAAAAAUCCAAAAAACUCUUUGUAAAAGGAAAUGUUUUUGGACAGCAUUGAAAGCUUAUUCAUCGGCACAAUCACUAUCACUGUAUUAGAUGCAUGACAAUUUUAAAUAAACGCACAUCGAGAUUAAAAAAAAUCCCAACAAUUUUUUGGAAUAGGAAAGAUUUUUCAUGCAAUCAAUUUCUACGAGAAAUUUUAAAA